CUCAGGCAGCCGUGCGUCCAUGUGAAGCCAUGCGUCCACAUGGAGAUGAUGAUAGGACAGACAUUAUGUUCACCACCACCGGGCCUUUCCCGGCCACCUGCUCCCUCCUUACACCUGGCAGAUGCUGCAGUGGCCGACAUGCUGCAGGGCAUCCAAGUCCGGAUGAUAGCAGGCGGGUAGCUGUGACCUCGCUCAGCCACAGCUGGGACCCGGACAGAGAGUUGCCACCUUCGCUCCCUCCACAUGCAGACGGAGAGACAUCAGACGUCAGCGGUGCUGCCGGCACGCGAUGUGUAACCAGCGUACUCUCAAAAACGUGCAUGCAGAGUUUGGACCAGAGGCAUUAACUUAUAAUGUCAGGAUUCAUUUGAUUCAUCUAAUUAUUUUUCCUCAGAACAUAAAGUACAAUGGGUGAUUCUUCUUUGGUAUAAUAAAUCAG
ensembl:lncRNA